rnacentral:tRNA from 3 species
GGGGGUGUAGCUCAAUCGGUUAGAGCGCUGGCCUGUCACGCCAGAGGUUGCGAGUUCAAGUCUCGUCACUCCCGCCA